GUCACCGGCGUUAACCCGCGAAGGGAGAACAGGCGACCGAAGGUAUGGCUGGUAGAUUGGGAGUG
rnacentral:rRNA from 1 species